rnacentral:rRNA from 1 species
CACGUAGGGGGCGAGCGUUGUCCGGAUUUAUUGGGCGUAAAGAGCUCGUAGGCUGUUCAGUUAGUCGGGCGUGAAAACUCAGGGCUCAACCCUGAGACGCCGCCCGAUACUGCUGUGACUGGAGUCCGGUAGAGGAGCGUGGAAUUCCUAGUGUAGCGGUGAAAUGCGCAGAUAUUAGGAGGAACACCAACGGCGAAGGCAGCGCUCUGGGCCGGUACUGACGCUGAGGAGCGAAAGCGUGGGGAGCAAA